rnacentral:rRNA from 1 species
UCCGAGUUGUAAUUUGUAGAGGAUGUUUUGGGUACCGCCCCGGUUUAAAUUUCUUGGAACAGAAUGUCAGAGAGGGUGAGAAUCCCGUCUUGGACCGGUGGUAGGGCCUGUGUAAAACUCCUUCGACGAGUCGAGUUGUUUGGGAAUGCAGCUCAAAAUGGGUGGUAAAUUUCAUCUAAAGCUAAAUAUUGGCCAGAGACCGAUAGCGCACAAGUAGAGUGAUCGAAAGAUGAAAAGAACUUUGAAAAGAGAGUUAAACAGUAUGUGAAAUUGUUGAAAGGGAAGCGCUUGCAACCAGACUUGAGCGCGACGGUUCCCCUAGCCUUUUGGCUAGGUUACUCCGUCGUGUCCAGGCCAACAUCGGUUCUGAGGGUCGGUCAAAGGCCCCGGGAAUGUACCUACCCACGGGUAGACUUAUAGACCGGGGUGUCAUGCGGCCUCUUGGGACCGAGGAACGCGCUUCGGCUCGGAUGUUGGCGUAAUGGUUGUCAGCGACCCGUCUUGAAACACGGACCAAGGAGUCUAACAUCUAUGCGAGUGUUUGGGUGUCAAACCCGGAACGCGGAAUGAAAGUGAACGGAGGUAGGAAGCUUCGGCUGCACUAUCGACCGAUCCUGAAGUUUACGGAUGGAUUUGAGUAAGAGCAUAGCUGUUGGGACCCGAAAGAUGGUGAACUAUGCCUGAAUAGGGUGAAGCCAGAGGAAACUCUGGUGGAGGCUCGCAGCGGUUCUGACGUGCAAAUCGAUCGUCAAAUUUGGGUAUAGGG